rnacentral:pre_miRNA from 1 species
AGCCCCCUGUAUUCGUGAUGAGAUUUCGUCAGAGAUCAACCCACUGGCGUUGGGCUAAUGAUACUUCCCAAAUAAGUGAAGCG